AUUGAACGCUGGCGGCAGGCCUAACACAUGCAAGUCGAACGCGUGGCGGACGGGUGUGCUAUGACUGGGAAACUGCCCGAUGGAGGGGGAUAACUAAUGGAAACGGUAGCUACUACCGUCUACCAUCGGAUUUGUCCAGAUGGGAUUAGCGAGUGGUUGGGGUAAAGGCUCACCUAGGCGACGAUCCCUAGCUGGUCUGAGAGGAUGACCAGCCAAACUGGAACUGAGACACGGUCCAGACUCCUACGGGAGGCAGCAGUGGGGAAUAUUGGACAAUGGGCGAAAGCCUGAUACAGCCAUGCCGCGUGUAUUAAGAAGGCCUUCGGAUUGUAAAGUACUUGCAGCGAGGAGGCGUUACUCGCAGAAUAAGCACCGGCUAACUCCGUGCCAGCAGCCGCGGUAAUUC
rnacentral:rRNA from 1 species